GAGUUGGUGUCUCUGUCCUCCAGGCUGAGGCGCAGUAGCCCAAUCAAGGCUCACUGCAACCUCUGCCUCCCGGGUUCAAGCAAUUCACCUGCCUCAGCCUCCCAAGUAGCUGGGAUUACAGGCAUAUGCCACCAUGCCCAGCUAAUUUUUGUAUUUUUAGUAGAGACAGGGUUUCACCAUGUUGGCCAGGCUGGUCUCGAACUCCUGACCUCAGGUGAUCCACCCACCUUAGCCUCCCAAAGUGCUGGGAUUACAGGCAUGAGCCACCGCGCCUGGCCCAUUUUUAGUUUUUUUUAAAUUUAUUUUUGAGACAGGGUCUUGUUCUGUUGCUCAGGCUGGAGUGCAAUAGUGCAAUCAGAGUUCAGUGCAGUUUCAACCUCCAGGGUUCAAAGCGAUCCUCCCACCUCAGCCUCCCGAGUAGCUGGGACUACAGGCAUGGACCACCAUGCCGGACUAAUUUAUUUUUUGUAGAGACAGGGUCUCACUAUGUUGCCUGGCUGGUCUUGAACUCCUGGGCUCAACUGAUCUGCUGACCUCGGCCUCUCAAAGUGCUGGGAUUAUAGGCAUGAGCCACCAUGCCUGGUCCUCUACUGGCAUUUUAAAUGAGCAGAGAGUAAGGGGUUUCCUUGGUGUUUUGAAAUGAUGCUUGCCUGCUACUGUGUACCAGAGGUUUCAAUGUGUGUGGGACAAGUACAAGACAGAGUGAAAACUGGUGGACAGCUGCCCUGAAGUCUGAUAUUGAAGGAUCAAACAUCUCCUUUGUGAUUGUCCCCGCUUCACUGAGUCUCCUUUGCUUACUCAUACCCCAAUCUUCUAAGGACAUACCCAAUUUUACUUUGUCUUUGUAUGGACCAAUAAAAGAGGCUAGAACUGAGAUAAGAGAUGUUCUACUUAGGGGCACAUUGGAGACUAGGGCCCAGGAAGAAUAUGAAGACCUGAACUCUACAGCUUUAAUGUAAGUAUCAUGGCACAAAAUGAGAUAUGGGACUUCAGGAAUAAUUUAUUCAAUGCUAAAUAAGGUGAGGAGUGGCAAGUCUAAAAUACAUACCCUCUAUGUACAUUCUAAUCUUGUUCAUCCUCUACAGGUACAACAAUAUACACAUUCACUCACCCAACUCACCAUUUCCUGGCAGCUAAAAUGACAGGAUCUUCUCUACAACUUAUCCCCACCCCCAUCAGUCAUACCCACCUUCUGGAAGUCAGAUCCUUCAGGUGAUUGCCUACUGGCCACAAGGGCACCCAUCAUUUCCGUGGCCUCUGUGGUUUCUAUCCCUGCCUUUCUGGGGGCAGAAAUGUCUGCUGCAGUCCUUCCUUUUGGAAAUCUGAAGACUUUUGGAAUUGCCCCUGAAAAGAAAGGAAGAUAAGUGGGUGAGAGUCUGUAACAAUGUGACCAUAGUCAUCCUUAGGAAGGUGGUUACAGGAAGGCUGGGUGGAAACUUAGCAGGGACAGAGUGUCAGAGAGACGAAAUAAAAUAAUAUCUUAAUAUGGCUGAUUUUAUCUCUGCUUUCUCCACAUCCUCUACCUUUUGUUCUCCCGUUAUGUAACUCUGCCUCUGUUUUCACCCUGUUCGUUCACUUCCCUUAAACAUACUCAUUUCCCUUAUUUUCUACAAAACUUCUUUCUUGCCUAAUCCUCCACAAAUGGAACCAAAGCCUGUAAAUCUUUAAAUCAUUACAUCUAGAUGUUAUCUUCUGUCCUUUUGCAUGCGACAGACUUUUUUUAUCUUUUGUGUACCUGUAUUACUUUGUGAAACAGGUAUCUUGAUUUAUAUCAUUUAAUGUCCAAGUGCUUGUACAACAUUAAUGAAUAUGAACAACCAGUUCAACAGAGGUUGGGGAAAGAAUGGGAAGAGGAAGAGAGGAAGAAGGAAAGAAUGGUAAGACAUUCCUGAAGAAGGUAUGUUGCCCAGCAUCGAUGGGAAUAGAAGAAUUUAGGAAGUCUUGAGGGAAAAGCAGCAGGACCUAUUUGUAAUGAUGGAAAACAGACAAGAGGUGUGAAGGAAAACAGGGAUGCACUGAGUAGGAGAGACACAACUUAAAAAAAAUAAUUUUAAUACAGAAAAGUAUACAGAGGGGUAAAAAAAAAACUGGCCUAUAAUUCCACAGCACUGGAUAACCCUUACUACAUGUUAUCAUUUUAUACAUGUAUGUGUGUGCAUGUGUAUAGUUUAUAAAACAUUUAUAUUUUAUAGAAAAUGCAUUUUCAUGGUCACAAUGUUGAAACAAAACAGAAGAUACAAAAUAAAAAGUGAUAGCAUUCCUUUUCCCUCUCCCAAAGGCAACCUUUUUUGGUUACGAUUUAGUUUUGAUGAGAUGACAAGAGGAUGCUGGAGACCAUAAACUGUUGAAUUACUUCUUCAACCAAAUCAGAGGGGUUUGGGGUUUGACUGACUUCAGCAUGCUUAUGAAGUCUGGCUGGAAGGAAAAAGGAGGCCAUUUGAAAACUGGAUCCCCAAA
rnacentral:lncRNA from 1 species